rnacentral:rRNA from 1 species
AGCGAACGCUGGCGGCAGGCCUAACACAUGCAAGUCGAACGAACUCUUCGGAGUUAGUGGCGGACGGGUGAGUAACACGUGGGAACGUGCCUUUUGGUUCGGAAUAACUCAGGGAAACUUGUGCUAAUACCGAAUGUGCCCUUCGGGGGAAAGAUUUAUCGCCAUUAGAGCGGCCCGCGUCCGAUUAGCUAGUUGGUGAGGUAACGGCUCAUCAAGGCGACGAUCAGUAGCUGGUCUGAGAGGAUGACCAGCCACACUGGGACUGAGACACGGCCCAGACUCCUACGGGAGGCAGCAGUGGGGAAUCUUGCGAAAUGGGGGAAAGCCUGACGCAGCCAUGCCGCGUGAAUGAUGAAGGUCUUAGGAUUGUAAAAUUCUUUCACCGGGGACGAUAAUGACGGUACCCGGAGAAGAAGCCCCGGCUAACUUCGUG